rnacentral:tRNA from 1 species
AAAUUUAGGUUAACCCGAUUUUAAACCCAAGGGCCUUCAAAGCCUUAAAUAGGGACUAAAUUCCCUAAUUUCUG